GAUCGUGAGCGACCAGGAGCUCCCACUACUGACUGGAAGUUAUAUUGCUACAUCAGUAUCCCAGUAUGUGUUUUUGUGGUGAUGCUCGGUUUCUGCCUGGCUGCAAGAAAUAAGUGCAAAUGUUCACCCCUACACAACAAUGCUGACCCAGAGCGUGAAGAGGGGGAAGAGCGAGAGGAGGAGAAUGGAGUGGA